UAAGUUAGAAAGGGCGCACGGUGGAUGCCUUGACACUAGGAGUCGAUGAAGGACGGGACUAACGCCGAUAUGCUUCGGGGAGCUGUAAGUAAGCUUUGAUCCGAAGAUUUCCGAAUGGGGAAACCCACCAUACGUAAUGGUAUGGUAUCCUUAUCUGAAUACAUAGGGUAAGGAAGACAGACCCAGGGAACUGAAACAUCUAAGUACCUGGAGGAAGAGAAAGCAAAUGCGAUUUCCUGAGUAGCGGCGAGCGAAACGGAACAUAGCCCAAACCAAGAGGCUUGCCUCUUGGGGUUGUAGGACAUUCUAUACGGAGUUACAAAGGAACGAGGUAGACGAAGCGACCUGGAAAGGUCCGUCGUAGAGGGUAACAACCCCGUAGUCGAAACUUCGUUCUCUCUUGAAUGUAUCCUGAGUACGGCGGAACACGUGAAAUUCCGUCGGAAUCUGGGAGGACCAUCUCCCAAGGCUAAAUACUCCCUAGUGAUCGAUAGUGAACCAGUACCGUGAGGGAAAGGUGAAAAGCACCCCGGAAGGGGAGUGAAAGAGAUCCUGAAACCGUGUGCCUACAAAUAGUCAGAGCCCGUUAACGGGUGAUGGCGUGCCUUUUGUAGAAUGAACCGGCGAGUUACGAUCCCGUGCGAGGUUAAGCUGAAGAGGCGGAGCCGCAGCGAAAGCGAGUCUGAAUAGGGCGUUUAGUACGUGGUCGUAGACCCGAAACCAGGUGAUCUACCCAUGUCCAGGGUGAAGUUCAGGUAACACUGAAUGGAGGCCCGAACCCACGCACGUUGAAAAGUGCGGGGAUGAGGUGUGGGUAGCGGAGAAAUUCCAAUCGAACCUGGAGAUAGCUGGUUCUCCCCGAAAUAGCUUUAGGGCUAGCCUUAAGUGUAAGAGUCUUGGAGGUAGAGCACUGAUUGGACUAGGGGUCCUCAUCGGAUUACCGAAUUCAGUCAAACUCCGAAUGCCAAUGACUUAUCCUUAGGAGUCAGACUGCGAGUGAUAAGAUCCGUAGUCAAAAGGGAAACAGCCCAGACCGCCAGCUAAGGUCCCAAAGUGUGUAUUAAGUGGAAAAGGAUGUGGAGUUGCUUAGACAACUAGGAUGUUGGCUUAGAAGCAGCCACCAUUUAAAGAGUGCGUAAUAGCUCACUAGUCGAGUGACUCUGCGCCGAAAAUGUACCGGGGCUAAAUACACCACCGAAGCUGCGGAUUGAUACCAAUGGUAUCAGUGGUAGGGGAGCGUUCUAAGGACAGUGAAGUCAGACCGGAAGGACUGGUGGAGUGCUUAGAAGUGAGAAUGCCGGUAUGAGUAGCGAAAGACGGGUGAGAAUCCCGUCCACCGAAUGCCUAAGGUUUCCUGAGGAAGGCUCGUCCGCUCAGGGUUAGUCAGGACCUAAGCCGAGGCCGACAGGCGUAGGCGAUGGACAACAGGUUGAUAUUCCUGUACCACCUCUUUAUCGUUUGAGCAAUGGAGGGACGCAGAAGGAUAGAAGAAGCGUGCGAUUGGUUGUGCACGUCCAAGCAGUUAGGCUGAUAAGUAGGCAAAUCCGCUUAUCGUGAAGGCUGAGCUGUGAUGGGGAAGCUCCUUAUGGAGCGAAGUCUUUGAUUCCCCGCUGCCAAGAAAAGCUUCUAGCGAGAUAAAAGGUGCCUGUACCGCAAACCGACACAGGUAGGCGAGGAGAGAAUCCUAAGGUGUGCGAGAGAACUCUGGUUAAGGAACUCGGCAAAAUGACCCCGUAACUUCGGGAGAAGGGGUGCUUUCUUAACGGAAAGCCGCAGUGAAUAGGCCCAAGCGACUGUUUAGCAAAAACACAGCUCUCUGCGAAGCCGUAAGGCGAAGUAUAGGGGGUGACACCUGCCCGGUGCUGGAAGGUUAAGGAGAGGGGUUAGCGUAAGCGAAGCUCUGAACUGAAGCCCCAGUAAACGGCGGCCGUAACUAUAACGGUCCUAAGGUAGCGAAAUUCCUUGUCGGGUAAGUUCCGACCCGCACGAAAGGUGUAACGAUUUGGGCACUGUCUCAACCAGAGACUCGGUGAAAUUAUAGUACCUGUGAAGAUGCAGGUUACCCGCGACAGGACGGAAAGACCCCGUGGAGCUUUACUGUAGCCUGAUAUUGAAUUUUGGUACAGUUUGUACAGGAUAGGCGGGAGCCUUUGAAACCGGAGCGCUAGCUUCGGUGGAGGCGCUGGUGGGAUACCGCCCUGACUGUAUUGAAAUUCUAACCUACGGGUCUUAUCGACCCGGGAGACAGUGUCAGGUGGGCAGUUUGACUGGGGCGGUCGCCUCCUAAAGUGUAACGGAGGCGCCCAAAGGUUCCCUCAGAAUGGUUGGAAAUCAUUCGUAGAGUGCAAAGGCAUAAGGGAGCUUGACUGCGAGACCUACAAGUCGAGCAGGGACGAAAGUCGGGCUUAGUGAUCCGGUGGUUCCGCAUGGAAGGGCCAUCGCUCAACGGAUAAAAGCUACCCCGGGGAUAACAGGCUUAUCUCCCCCAAGAGUCCACAUCGACGGGGAGGUUUGGCACCUCGAUGUCGGCUCAUCGCAUCCUGGGGCUGUAGUCGGUCCCAAGGGUUGGGCUGUUCGCCCAUUAAAGCGGUACGCGAGCUGGGUUCAGAACGUCGUGAGACAGUUCGGUCCCUAUCCGUCGUGGGCGUAGGAGAUUUGAGAGGAGCUGUCCUUAGUACGAGAGGACCGGGAUGGACGCACCGCUGGUGUACCAGUUGUUCUGCCAAGGGCAUAGCUGGGUAGCUAUGUGCGGAAGGGAUAAGUGCUGAAAGCAUCUAAGCAUGAAGCCCCCCUCAAGAUGAGAUUUCCCAUAGCGUAAGCUAGUAAGAUCCCUGAAAGAUGAUCAGGUUGAUAGGUUCGAGGUGGAAGCAUGGUGACAUGUGGAGCUGACGAAUACUAAUAGAUCGAGGACUUAACCA
rnacentral:rRNA from 1 species